GUGGGGAAUAUUGGACAAUGGGCGAAAGCCUGAUCCAGCCAUGCCGCGUGUGUGAAGAAGGUCUUCGGAUUGUAAAGCACUUUAAGUUGGGAGGAAGGGCAGUAAGUUAAUACCUUGCUGUUUUGACGUUACCGACAGAAUAAGCACCGGCUAACUUCGUGCCAGCAGCCGCGGUAAUACGAAGGGUGCAAGCGUUAAUCGGAAUUACUGGGCGUAAAGCGCGCGUAGGUGGUUCAGCAAGUUGGAGGUGAAAUCCCCGGGCUCAACCUGGGAACUGCCUCCAAAACUGCAUGACUAGAGUACGGUAGAGGGUAGUGGAAUUUCCUGUGUAGCGGUGAAAUGCGUAGAUAUAGGAAGGAACACCAGUGGCGAAGGCGGCUACCUGGACUGAUACUGACACUGAGGUGCGAAAGCGUGGGGAGCAAACAGGAUUAGAAACCCGUGUAGUCC
rnacentral:rRNA from 1 species